rnacentral:rRNA from 1 species
AAAUUUGAGAGGAGCUGUCCUUAGUACGAGAGGACCGGGAUGGACAUACCUCUGGUGUACCAGUUGUGCCGCCAGGCGCAUCGCUGGGUAGCUACGUAUGGAAGGGAUAAACGCUGAAAGCAUCUAAGUGUGAAGCCCCCCUCGAGAUGAGAUUUCCCAUUCCUUUAUGGAAGUAAGAUCCGUUAAAGAAUAUGACGUAGAUAGGCUGCGGGUGGAAGUGUAGCGAUACAUGGAGCUGAGCAGUACUAAUAGAUCGAGGACUUAAUCGA